GAGGAGGACGAAGUGGAGAGGGAGGAGAUGGAGCAAUCCCUUAAGUGAUCAUUCCAUCCACGCACACAGCUUUCACCUAACAUCUGGUUCAAGUGUAAUGUUUUCAGCUCCGUAUAACCUGUACAGCGUCUGUGCCCUCCCCUUCAAACGCAGCGCAGUAUUAUGAUCCUCUAAUCAAGAGAACUGUGCUCCCCUCGCCACAUGUCUCGUGGUUCACCGGCAGACCAGUGAGUUAAUACGUCUUCACCAGACAGCUCUCCGGAGCAGCUGUUUAGAGGUAAUGUUCUGGCCGCCCUGGCUUCCUCCAGACCCAUCCCAGCCCUCCUCCUGGGGCUGGAGCUGUAUCGGGACUAUGUAGAUGCUCUGAGGGUGGGAGUCUGGGU
rnacentral:lncRNA from 1 species